UCUGAUUUGGCAGAGCUGAGCAUCUGCAAGAUUGGAACAAGGCUGCCCUCUCUCUUCUCUCGGGGACACUGCUUCCUGCAGCAGGAACAGCAGACAUUCUGAAUGCCAGCCCAGAUGGGAGAAUUCUCUUGGCCUGGUUGCCCCACCUACACUUGCUGCCUGGCUACUGGCCAAUCAAUGUUUUAUUAAACCGAGACGAGUGACAAAUCUUUACUGUGUAGAAGAGCAUCAUCCCACAGCAAAGGAGGGGCAGGACUUGAGGCAAAUGAAGCUGCUCCCCCAGCUAGAGUACCUCCUACAGGGCUGCAGGUAUGAGAAGGUCCCUGUAAACCUCACUGUCUGUGACCGGAAGCAUACAUAGGAGUCACGUAUGCCCAGCAGUAAAGCUUUGGGCCAUUUCCAAAGCAACUGCAAAGAGGACAAGAGGAGCAUGCGAUGCUUCCGGGAAGAGUUGGGCAAACCCACCAGGUGGAGGAGGCUGCAGUGCCGAGGGCAGGAGUUCUCCAUCCCCAAUGCCAGCACACCCAUAAUAAGGAAUUAUCCCCUCCCAGAACAAAACUACACUGGCCAACUGGGAUGGGGUAAGCAAAGAGGAGCUACUUUAGUAAGUACUGCAUCCAGCGCUGUAUGGGUCAUGGGCUCUAUCUGAUGCCUUAGAGGAUGAGGAAGGGUCCCAGGGCAUGAAAUACUCCCAUGGCUAAUGAGACUUGGCAAGACAUCCCAGCAUGGUGCAGCACAAAGCUCCCCACGGGCAGGGAAGCCAGCAGCAACUGGGCAGACUGGCGGACAGUGCCACUACAGGCUGUGGCAAGGGUAAGGCUUGGCUCUACCUUUUGACUUUAAAAACCAAAGUAAGUGGUAAAGUGAACUGGAGUCCACUGAAAGCCCUGCUCUCCUUCACGCUGCAGCGCCAGGGAGAAUGGAAGUGCUGUCACUGCUUAAACUGUCGCAGUGAACCAACCAGCACUUUAGAUGCUGCUGACAAAGGAAAACAGGGGUGAGCUGCACAGGCAGACACAGAGGCCCCUUGAAACUUUCUGGUCUCUCUGAGAGGCGCAGGCCCAGCUGCGGUGACUCCUGAGGCAAGACAGACAG